rnacentral:lncRNA from 1 species
GGUGUACUUUUCGAUUAAAGAGGGAGUUGAUGAGAUGCAUGGCGACCAAAUGAUGGCUCGACAGUAUUUUAUGAUUUCUGCUAAAAUGAACCAACUAGCAAAAACUAAGCCAAUUGAUAUACCAAAUGCGUUGGAUGAGGUCAAAAAAAUCCGAAGUGAAUCGACGAAAAAGCUUGAAGCCAUUUCUUUGGAAGAUAAUCUAAAAAAAUG